rnacentral:rRNA from 1 species
GAUGAACGCUGGCGGCGUGCCUAAUACAUGCAAGUCGAGCGAAUGGAUUAAGAGCUUGCUCUUAUGAAGUUAGCGGCGGACGGGUGAGUAACACGUGGGUAACCUGCCCAUAAGACUGGGAUAACUCCGGGAAACCGGGGCUAAUACCGGAUAACAUUUUGAACCGCAUGGUUCGAAAUUGAAAGGCGGCUUCGGCUGUCACUUAUGGAUGGACCCGCGUCGCAUUAGCUAGUUGGUGAGGUAACGGCUCACCAAGGCAACGAUGCGUAGCCGACCUGAGAGGGUGAUCGGCCACACGGGGACUGGAACACGGCCCAGACUCCUACGGGAGGCAGCAGUAGGGAAUCUUCCGCAAUGGACGAAAGUCUGACGGAGCAACGCCGCGUGAGUGAUGAAGGCUUUCGGGUCGUAAAACUCUGUUGUUAGGGAAGAACAAGUGCUAGUUGAAUAAGCUGACACCUUGACGGUACCUAACCAGAAAGCCACGGCUAACUACGUGCCAGCAGCCGCGGUAA